AGAGUUUGAUCAUGGCUCAGAUUGAACGCUGGCGGCAGGCCUAACACAUGCAAGUCGAGCGGUAGCACAGAGAGCUUGCUCUCGGGUGACGAGCGGCGGACGGGUGAGUAAUGUCUGGGAAACUGCCUGAUGGAGGGGGAUAACUACUGGAAACGGUAGCUAAUACCGCAUAAUGUCGCAAGACCAAAGUGGGGGACCUUCGGGCCUCAUGCCAUCAGAUGUGCCCAGAUGGGAUUAGCUAGUAGGUGGGGUAACGGCUCACCUAGGCGACGAUCCCUAGCUGGUCUGAGAGGAUGACCAGCCACACUGGAACUGAGACACGGUCCAGACUCCUACGGGAGGCAGCAGUGGGGAAUAUUGCACAAUGGGCGCAAGCCUGAUGCAGCCAUGCCGCGUGUGUGAAGAAGGCCUUCGGGUUGUAAAGCACUUUCAGCGGGGAGGAAGGCGAUAAGGUUAAUAACCUUGUUGAUUGACGUUACCCGCAGAAGAAGCACCGGCUAACUCCGUGCCAGCAGCCGCGGUAAUACGGAGGGUGCAAGCGUUAAUCGGAAUUACUGGGCGUAAAGCGCACGCAGGCGGUCUGUCAAGUCGGAUGUGAAAUCCCCGGGCUCAACCUGGGAACUGCAUUCGAAACUGGCAGGCUAGAGUCUUGUAGAGGGGGGUAGAAUUCCAGGUGUAGCGGUGAAAUGCGUAGAGAUCUGGAGGAAUACCGGUGGCGAAGGCGGCCCCCUGGACAAAGACUGACGCUCAGGUGCGAAAGCGUGGGGAGCAAACAGGAUUAGAUACCCUGGUAGUCCACGCCGUAAACGAUGUCGAUUUGGAGGUUGUGCCCUUGAGGCGUGGCUUCCGGAGCUAACGCGUUAAAUCGACCGCCUGGGGAGUACGGCCGCAAGGUUAAAACUCAAAUGAAUUGACGGGGGCCCGCACAAGCGGUGGAGCAUGUGGUUUAAUUCGAUGCAACGCGAAGAACCUUACCUGGUCUUGACAUCCACAGAACUUAGCAGAGAUGCUUUGGUGCCUUCGGGAACUGUGAGACAGGUGCUGCAUGGCUGUCGUCAGCUCGUGUUGUGAAAUGUUGGGUUAAGUCCCGCAACGAGCGCAACCCU
rnacentral:rRNA from 2 species